rnacentral:misc_RNA from 1 species
UUGGUUUGUUACGGGUGGUUGGCUCUUUGCUUGUGCAACAACUAUCACCUGGCAAACCUCUUCAUUUAUGCGUCAGAGCUUGUNUCUCGGCGCAUUGUGGGUUUCUUGUGUUGGCUACCAAACUGACGGUAUUGUGAGGAUUGAACAUAGUCCCUUUCGUCUUUUGUAACACUUGUUAUACGAGAUGAUUCGUGUGAAGCAGUUUCUAUGAUCCACAUCAUUGAUGUACAUGUACAAUGUUGUGGCCCAUUUAACACUGCUUGGUCUUGAGAAUAUAGAAGCUAAUUUGAGCAUAGGUUCUUCAUCGGAGCCUUGUUUUACCCUUGUCUAGCGUUCACGCAUCUUUAAAAUGACUACCCGUCAUGUAGUGGCUCGUACCAGCAUGGUGGGUUUUGUCUAAGAGGAAUGCUACCUGGUUGAUCCUGCCAGUAGUCAUAUGCUUGUCUCAA